rnacentral:sRNA from 14 species
CAACUCGACGGAUUGUAUGUUCGAGAAUAAAGCUAGUAAAAAUACCUGCAAAUUACAAUUAUAAUUAUUUUGAAUAUGAAGAAGGUGUGAGGCCAGCUGAUAUUUUGAACACAUCUCAGAAUAAAUUGU